CUUUAUCCUUCACAUUUUCGCCCUUUCUCCCCUCACAUUUCCCACUUUUCCCCCUCACAUUUCCUACCUCUUAUCCCUUGCAUUUUCUGCCCUUUCCCCCCCUCAACAUUUCCCACCAUUUUCCCCUUACAUUUCCGACCUCUCAUCCCUCACAUUUCCCCCUCACAUUUCUCACCUUUUAUCCUUCACGUCUUCGCCCUUUUCCCCUCACGAUUCCCGCCCCUUUCUCCCCUCACGAUUCCCGCCCCUUUCUCCCCUCACGAUUCCCGCCCCUUUCUUCCCCUCACGAUUCCCGCCCUUUUUCUCCCCUCACGUUUCCCGCCCUUUUUCCACCGUUUUCCCCUCACAUUUUGGGGGCUCCUUUUGGGGUGCAGCAGACGGACAGACAGACACGAACCCCGCCCAGGUACGAAGCAACGGCGCUGUUUAUUUACAACGGGAGGGGCUGCAGCCCCCCAAAAUCCAAAAUAUUAUCCUUCAAACAAAGAGGGGAAGGGAAUAAAAGGUGGGAGGGGGGUGCAGGGAACGUUUAGAAAAAUAACACACAUGAAAAAACUUGUUUCCAAAACCUCAAGAGUUUGGGGGGAGGGACCCCCAAAUCCCUCUCCCCAGUUCAGGGGUUGAGACACCCCAAAACCUCGUGAAUUGGGGUACGGGACCCCCAAACUUCGUGCCCUUGGGGGGGGUAAAAAACCCCAAAACCCCCUGAACUUAGUGGGGUCCCCCGAAUUUUAACUGGGACCCUGAAACCUCAUAACAUGGGGCAGGGAACCCCAAAAUUCUCUUAUUUUGGGGGAAGGGACCCCCAAAACUCCCUCUUCUAGGGGAGUUUUCCCCAAAUCUUACUUGGGGGUGUGGGGCCCCCAAAUUCUCCUUUUCUGGGGGGCGGGACACCCCAAAAUUUCAUGAUUUGGGGCAAAGAACACCCCAAAAUCCCCCUAUUUUAGGGGGAGUCCCCCAAAUCUUUUUGUCUGGGGUGAAGGACCCCCAAACCCUCCUUUCCUGGGGUUAGGGGACCCCAAAAUCUCAUAAUUUGGGGUAGGGGACCCCCAAAACCUCCCCUAUCUGAAGGGGGCUCCCCCAAUCUUAAUUUGGGGUGAGGGAACCCCUUCCCCCAAACCUUCCCAUCUUGGGGGUGGGGGACCCAAAAAAACUCAUGAUUUGGGGUAAGAGCCCCCCCAAAUCUUGUACCCCAAAAUGGGACCCCAAAACCCUCCUGUCCUGCAGAUGAGGGACCCCAAAACCCCCCUAUAUU
rnacentral:lncRNA from 1 species